GAGUGCUAAGAGAAUGGUUUAACAAUUUUAAGCUUUCUUUAAUUAAAAAAUUGAAUUUAAUUUUUUUUGUGAAGAAGCAAAAAUUUAAAUUAGGGACAAGAAGACCCUAUGAAUUUUGAAUUAAACAAUAUAAUUUGUAUAGGUUUAUUUUGUUUAAAUUAAUUGGGGUGAUUUGGAAAGAAUAUGUAUCUUUUUAAGAAAAUUAAUUUGUUCCGUUUUUAACGAUUUUAUGAAAAAAAUACUCUAGGGAUAACAGCGUAAUAAUUUUGGAUAGUUCAUAUAGAUAAAAUAGUUUGCGACCUCGAUGUUGGAUUAGGAUUCUUUUUUAGUGAAGAAAUUAAAGAGAAGAAGUUUGUUCAACUUUUAAAUUCCUACUUGAUCUGAGUUCAGACCGGA
rnacentral:rRNA from 1 species